CCUACGGGUGGCUGCAGUGGGGAAUAUUGGGCAAUGGGCGAAAGCCUGACCCAGCAACGCCGCGUGAAGGAAGAAGGCUUUCGGGUUGUAAACUUCUUUUGACAGGGAAGAGCAGAAGACGGUACCUGUCGAAUAAGCCACGGCUAACUACGUGCCAGCAGCCGCGGUAAUACGUAGGUGGCAAGCGUUGUCCGGAUUUACUGGGUGUAAAGGGCGUGUAGCCGGGCUGACAAGUCAGAUGUGAAAUCCGGGGGCUCAACCCCCGAACUGCAUUUGAAACGGUUGGUCUUGAGUAUCGGAGAGGCAGGCGGAAUUCCUGGUGUAGCGGUGAAAGGGGUAGAUAUAUGGAGGAACACCGGUGGCGAAAGCGGCUCUCUGGCCUGUAACUGACACUGAGGCUCGAAAGCGUGGGGAGCAAACAGGAUUAGAUACCCGAGUAGU
rnacentral:rRNA from 1 species